AGCAGCAGCCGCGGUAAAACGGAGGGUGCAAGCGUUAUCCGGAUUUAUUGGGUUUAAAGGGUCCGUAGGCGGACUUAUAAGUCAGUGGUGAAAGCCUGUCGCUUAACGAUAGAACUGCCAUUGAUACUGUAAGUCUUGAGUAUAUUUGAGGUAGCUGGAAUAAGUAGUGUAGCGGUGAAAUGCAUAGAUAUUACUUAGAACACCAAUUGCGAAGGCAGGUUACCAAGAUAUAACUGACGCUGAGGGACGAAAGCGUGGGUAGCGAACAGGAUUAGAUACCCCCGUAGUCCCUGUCUCUUAUAC
rnacentral:rRNA from 1 species